rnacentral:rRNA from 1 species
UUGAACGCUGGCGGCAGGCCUAACACAUGCAAGUCGAACGGUAACAGGAAGCAGCUUGCUGCUUCGCUGACGAGUGGCGGACGGGUGGGUAAUGUCUGGGAAACUGCCUGAUGGAGGGGGAUAACUACUGGAAACGGUAGCUAAUACCGCAUAAUGUCGCAAGACCAAAGAGGGGGACCUUCGGGCCUCUUGCCAUCGGAUGUGCCCAGAUGGGAUUAGCUUGUUGGUGGGGUAACGGCUCACCAAGGCGACGAUCCCUAGCUGGUCUGAGAGGAUGACCAGCCACACUGGAACUGAGACACGGUCCAGACUCCUACGGGAGGCAGCAGUGGGGAAUAUUGCACAAUGGGCGCAAGCCUGAUGCAGCCAUGCCGCGUGUAUGAAGAAGGCCUUCGGGUUGUAAAGUACUUUCAGCGGGGAGGAAGGGAGUAAAGUUAAUAUCUUUGCUCAUUGACGUUACCCGCAGAAGAAGCACCGGCUAACUCCGUGCCAGCAGCCGCGGUAAUACGGAGGGUGCAAGCGUUAAUCGGAAUUACUGGGCGUAAAGCGCACGCAGGCGGUUUGUUAAGUCAGAUGUGAAAUCCCCGGGCUCAACCUGGGAACUGCAUCUGAUACUGGCAAGCUUGAGUCUCGUAGAGGGGGGUAGAAUUCCAGGUGUAGCGGUGAAAUGCGUAGAGAUCUGGAGGAAUACCGGUGGCGAAGGCGGCCCCCUGGACGAAGACUGACGCUCAGGUGCGAAAGCGUGGGGAGCAAACAGGAUUAGAUACCCUGGUAGUCCACGCCGUAAACUAUGUCGACUUGGAGGUUGUGCCCUUGAGGCGUGGCUUCCGGAGCUAACGCGUUAAGUCGACCGCCUGGGGAGUACGGCCGCAAGGUUAAAACUCAAAUGAAUUGACGGGGGCCCGCACAAGCGGUGGAGCAUGUGGUUUAAUUCGAUGCAACGCGAAGAACCUUACCUGGUCUUGACAUCCACGGAAGUUUUCAGAGAUGAGAAUGUGCCUUCGGGAACCGUGAGACAGGUGCUGCAUGGCUGUCGUCAGCUCGUGUUGUGAAAUGUUGGGUUAAGUCCCGCAACGAGCGCAACCCUUAUCCUUUGUUGCCAGCGGUCCGGCCGGGAACUCAAAGGAGACUGCCAGUGAUAAACUGGAGGAAGGUGGGGAUGACGUCAAGUCAUCAUGGCCCUUACGACCAGGGCUACACACGUGCUACAAUGGCGCAUACAAAGAGAAGCGACCUCGCGAGAGCAAGCGGACCUCAUAAAGUGCGUCGUAGUCCGGAUUGGAGUCUGCAACUCGACUCCAUGAAGUCGGAAUCGCUAGUAAUCGUGGAUCAGAAUGCCACGGUGAAUACGUUCCCGGGCCUUGUACACACCGCCCGUCACACCAUGGGAGUGGGUUGCAAAAGAAGUAGGUAGCUUAACCUUCGGGAGGGCGCUUACCACUUUGUGAUUCAUGACUGGGGUG